rnacentral:rRNA from 1 species
UGUAAGCGUAUACCAAAGUUGUUGCAGUUAAAACGCUCGUAGUCGGAAUUUGGCAGUUCCGGAUGUGUGCACGUCGUGUGCGCACUUCGCGGGGAUUGCUUUUGUGGUCUUGCGUAGGAUGAGGCACUUUUAUUAGUGAACGUCCUCACGCAACCACUUUUUACUGUGAGAAAAUCAGAGUGCUCAAAGCAGGCAUUUGCCGUGAAUGUAUUAGCAUGGAAUAAUAGAAUAGGACUUGGUUCUAUUUUGUUGGUUUGUUGGGACUGAGUAAUGAUUAAGAGGGACAGUUGGGGGCAUUUGUAUUUCGGUGCUAGAGGUGAAAUUCUUAGAUUACCGACAGACAAACUGCUGCGAAAGCGUCUGCCAAGGAUGUUUUCAUCGA